GUGGAAACCUGUCAGAAUUGCAUGGUGAUGAAUACGAGCGAGUGAAUUACUACUGUAGCAUCCAGAUCCUUGUGUUGCUGACUGGGAAACGGAGGCACAAAGAGGCAGAAUGACUCACCCGAGGUCACAGAGUCGCUCUGGAAAUCUGACAUUUCUUUGUGCCAGACUCAGGCAGACCCCUUCCAUGCAAAACAGCAACUGACCUGGGGUGGGAAGCAGCGCGUGUGACCAUCAGAUCAUCCCCCGUUUAGUUUGGCUACUAAGGAGCCCAGCCCUAAAGUCACUGUAUAACCCCCUUUUGAUAUGUUCAAUUCCAUGCAGCUAUCCAUUGUUAUCGAGGGCACUAUGCCCUGUUGGAGGCAGUGUGACCUAGUGGAUACAGCUGUGGACGAAGCUGCAGGAGACCUGGGCUCCAGUCCUGGCACUAGCCAGCUGUGUGACUUUGGGCAAGUCACUUCACUGCUGUGUGCCUAGUUUCCCUGUUUGUACAAAGGGGAUUCUGAUCUCCACGAUAAAGCGCUUAGCGAUCUGUGGCUGAAAAGUGCCAUAUCACAGUGAGGUGUUAGUAUUCAUUCCCUUUCUCUUCCUCCCAGCCGUGAGCCCCAACUACUGCCAUGAAGACCACUGUGUUCCAGAAAGAACGUCAACCCAAUGCUUCCGAAGUGACCUACUCAGGGUGCCGCUUGCCCGCAUCCGGCCAGGAGGGGAGGUCGUGGGUACGGUUUGCGUCCAAACUGCGGGGCAGACCCAGCAGUAGCUGACCACAUCCCCGUUCCUGUAGCAUCGCUGGGUCCUUUGUUAAGGGCAGACGGCAGCAGCU